rnacentral:rRNA from 1 species
GGCGGCGUGCCUAACACAUGCAAGUCGCACGAGAAAGUGGAGCAAUCCAUGAGUAAAGUGGCGCACGGGUGAGUAACACGUGAAUGAUCUACCUCCGAGUGGGGAAUAACCUAGAGAAAUCUGGGCUAAUACCGCAUAACACUUACGAGUCAAAGCAGCAAUGCGCUUGGAGAGGAGUUCGCGGCCGAUUAGUUAGUUGGCGGGGUAAUGGCCCACCAAGACGAUGAUCGGUAUCCGGCCUGAGAGGGCGCACGGACACACUGGAACUGAAACACGGUCCAGACUCCUACGGGAGGCAGCAGUGGGGAAUUUUGCGCAAUGGGGGAAACCCUGACGCAGCAACGCCGCGUGGAGGAUGAAAUCCCUUGGGAUGUAAACUCCUUUCGAUCGGGACGAUUAUGACGGUACCGGAAGAAGAAGCCCCGGCUAACUUCGUGCCAGCAGCCGCGGUAAUACGAGGGGGGCAAGCGUUGUUCGGAAUUAUUGGGCGUAAAGGGCGCGUANGCGGUUUGACAAGUCUGAUGUGAAAUCUCUGGGCUCAACUCA